CCGGGUCAGCCAAAUCCAGGAUCAGUGAAAAAAUGACUUGCUCAUCUGUUCUGGAAUGAGAUCUUUCUUCCCACCAUUCUUAGUUAUAAAGAUAUCUUUUGUGUGGUUGUCGCUAAAUUUAAGCCCGGGCUGAGCGUAUUUAUUUGUGCACUAUCUACAUGCAUUUUAUGCAUCAGCAGUGCAUAGUGGUAGGCUGCACGCACAAUUAGGGCUUUAUGACUUUUGAAGUCACCUAAUACAAAGAUUUAUGUAUUUGCAGCAAUAAAAACCUGUGAUGGGGAUGGAUGUUUUGCAGACCUACAGCCCGAUUCUCCUUUGUGCGGUCUUGGUUUAGCUCCACUGCCUGCAGUGGCACCGAUCCUCACACCACCUGAGCGCCACAAGAACAGAAGAAGGAAACCCACCCCCAGUGCAAGCCUGGGGAGGUUGGAUCCCGCAUAGCUCACUCUUAUUUCAGACCGUAGCCCUGCGCAGAGUGGGCCUGGCAACAGGAAGGAAACCUUGCAGGAUGCUCCUUGCACCGAGCAGCUCAUGCAGCAUUGUCACCGUGUCGUGGGGGCUUCCAGGGCACCAAAAGCACAGGUGUGUGCAUGGAAGUGAAGGGAACGUAAGGUGAGAAUGUGCUCUUUUAAUACAUGCAUUACUAUUCUGUAAGAAAAAAAAAAUCCUCUUAUGGUCUAUUUCUUUCUUCACCAAAGCACUUGGCUACUGCAGUAGGAUUGAAAAGUAAGAGGAGCUGAACUUCUAUGGUCUUAUAGCAGCAGUUAAUAGCAAAGGAAAGUCCUUGUGUAGCUGUUUCCUGGUGUUACAAUGUUUUGAUAACAAUGGUACACAAAGGCUGGUUUUGUUUAGCGUGCGCCAUGUCGCUGCUCGUCAGACAAAGUCUCAAUUCUUUAAGUCAAAGACAAAGUGCUGAUUCUUUCAGUUCGAGGCAAAAGCCCAGGACAAAUGUGUGACAAAAAUACGGGUGUGGAAUGCCUCAAACUGCGGAGCAAUAAGGAAGGCGCUUUCGAUGAGGAGCCGGGUUAAUGGAUACUGAAGAUGGUGGUGGUAGGGAGAAUGGUAAAGGAAAAUUCAGGAGCUGGUUUUACCUCUUUCAGUUUUGAAGGCUCCUAGGCAAAAUGGCUCAGAGCCGUCCAGCUAUGGGAAAAAAAAAGGGAAAAAAAAAGAGAAUCCUUUUGCAUAGGUUUUGAUUUGUUGUGUUUGUUGGGGUUUUUUUCAUGACGAUGGGAAACAGAGCGUAGCCAAACUCCUGACAUUUCAUGAGUUAUAAAUAUUGUACAAAAUUAUACUUCUGGCACCAGAAAAUGCUUUCUCCUGUUGUUCAAAGUGACUCCAGAUGCUGAUGUAUUUAGUGUACUGCGCAAGCACGCGGACCGGAAUGAAAAAGCGAAGUAAAUGAGUUUACAUUCAUCUGUCAAUAUUCCUAAGGGACAGCCUGUUCAGGCUGCCAAGUCUGCUCUGCGUAUGCGUGCAUAACUUCAGCGGGCCGGAGAUUCCCACAGUGGAAUCUCCUCCAUGAGCAGGGGCGCUCUGCCGCCGCAACCUGGUGGAGGUGGUGACCGCUCCCCUUCUGAGUGUCCUUCAUCUCCUGCAGGAUUGGCAGAAAGAGCUUUCCAAAGGACCUGGGCAUUUUACGUUUUAAAUAGCUAUAUGUUUCACUGACUGCUGUCCCUCACUUGAGACAGUCCCAUGAAAAGGGAUUUUGACUGUACAAACAGCAGCAAUUUCCAUCCCAAACGCUGGAGUGAUUUGAUGCCCAUGAAAAAAAGCAAACAAGGCACAUGUGAGAGAAGAAGCUGCUGUGGCCAAUGUCCAGCAUAUGUUGGAAACACAUGGAAGAAAGAAGAAAAGAUGAGAGAAUUCAAGAGAUAAAGCGUCAAUGGAAUCGUGAAGGCUGGAAAAGACCGCUAAGUUCAUCUAGUCUUCACCAUCAGCCCAUCCCCAGAAUGCCCACUAACCCAUGUCCCUCAGUGCCAAUGAGAGAGGCAAGCGGUGAGAAAGGGUUAAGUAGUGUUUUGCUCAAAGUGACCAAUGUCCUUCACUCAGCAGCUAUCCUCAACCAUGCCAGUGUCCCAGGCUAAGCAGCCCUCACCAAACUUGUCUGCACAGAGACUGACCCAAGCCAACAUCUUCUGUAAGGGAAAGCAAACAGGAGGGUGGGCACAUGCACCUCUUUUAAGGCUGGAAUAUUGCCACAUAGCCAAACUGUGUUCACAGACUCAACAGACCUUAGUCUGUUCUAGGCCUCUAGGGCACCUCCUCUGUAUUUCUGUCCUAUAAAGUACGGGAAGUGACUAAGAUCAGUGCCUCAUUCCUCUGCUCACCUCUGCUCACUGCAGCAAUACAGCUGUGUUCCUCAAAUUUUCUUGCUCAACCUCAGAUUCCUUCACUCAUCCUCGAUUCAGCCUAAGGGAAUGUCAUUUGUGGUGAAUAAGAAACCUGGCAGAAAUGACAUUUUCCUCUCUUUGUUCUGUGCAGUCUAGGAUGGGGUAAGUUAUGGUGAUAAAACGCAAGACCUUUACACCCAUCACCCCCCUUCACCUCCCAGAGGGAUGGCCAAAAUGUACCUUGGCACCAGAACCAAAGACAAAUGUCAAUAUAUUUUCCUGGCUGUUAGAAACAAAAUGUUUCCCAGUGUCCACAAAGCCUUUACCUUGGGCAGCUGGGCUCCAGGAUGGACUCGUCCAGCCUGCAUCAGGCUGAGCUCCAUGCUGCCGGGGCCUUGCUUUGGCUGAAGGUGCUGAGAGAUCCACUGGGAUCCCUGGAGCGUUCUGUGGAGAUGUAUGGGGACUCAAGUGUCUCCCUUUUACCAGCAGCAAGUUAUGGAAGGGCCAUGACAGGAGUGCCAUUGCUCAUCACCCUCACAACAUGCCGAGCCUUGGAGCCCACGCUGUUUCUAGCUGCCUGAAUGUAACCAUGGUGAAGACUCAGCUUUAGAGCAGUCCAGCAGUUCUUCUGUUUUGGAAUCUUCAUGUUUUACCAAUAAUAUUUAGUAUUAUUUGAUCUUAGCUUUGUUUCCCAGAAUUUUGUCAAGGAACACCGUAAGAAAUAUAGCAACAUCUUCAGGAAAGAAGGAAAUCCAUGCAUCCCAUCCUGGAUUACUUUUGUAACAAUGAAGAAUGAUAUAAUGAUAAACAGCUACUGAAUUUUAUUUCAGAAGAAUAUUGAUAGAAAAUUAAGAAUAUCACAGGAAAAGGGCUUAAGUGUUCAUUGGUGCCUAUGGGAAAUGCUGGUCACCUACAUGCUUCAGUAAUCCAAGGUAUAUGGGAUAUUUGUUGGAUAAUGCGAGUGUUCCCUAGUCAGUCAUUUGACCUUCUCCACCCAAAAGCAGAAGCUAAACCCAUUUGUAUCAUUCCCACAUCACUGACUUCAACAAAGCAGAUGUUUCAGCACAUGUUUAGAAGGAUUCUUCCCAAUCCAGCGGAAAGAAGAAAUAUUACAGAGAAAGGCAGAGUCAUUCACCCUCCAGAAAAGAAUUAUUUGGCUGCUGUGAGGCUAUUUCUCCUCCCAUGAGAGUAGAUGCAUGCAGUCAGCAAUUAGUCAGAGUUUUCUUAAUAUCUGGGAGAAAAUCCUAGUGAUCAAAGUGAGAAUUGUUUUGUCCUAUAUGGAGGGAUAUGUUUUCUCAUUAUGUGCGUACACUGCUCAGUGCUGGGGGGCUGAAUAGCUGCCUAACCAGUGCCAGAUUAGGAUGUGCAAACAUCUUGCUCACCAGAAGUGUGCUUAGUGGACUGCUGAGGGAUGUCUUUGCUUCAGAAGACAGUAAAUAAAAUUGCUUGUUAUGUCUCGAGAUGUGAGCUGAUGAUUGGCAGCUUGCAGAACUGGCAAUGUGCCUCCUUCAUGUCUUACCAUCCUUUCCUGUGUACUCUAGGACAGCUCAAAAACAGCAACAGAAAGCACCAGCAACACUGCUUAUGUACACAGAAAUUAUCCAUCUGAAUGUUGGGAGGUGACUGCCAUGUACUGCAAGUACUGCAGGCUUCCCCAAACCCAUCCAUUUUCUUGUUCCUCCAUUGGGAAUUGGACAGGUUUCAAAUGAGUGAAUGCACAAAAUGUGCUCUGCUGCUGUUGGUUCCAAAACAAACAAACAAAAAAUGCUCAGAACUUACUGCUGGUGCAAAGGCUGUGCUUUAACUUCCAAGCAAAGACAGCAAAAUACAGCUCUGAGCUGUUGUACACAAGGUCAGCUUCGUUAUGCUGUGCACACUGUCCUGAGUUCAUUUCAAGCCCCAGAGAUAAACUUGGAGGCCUGCGCUGGCUCAAUAUACUGAAGCUAUGCAUCUGAACUCCGUAUCCAUGCAGCAUCCCUACCAAUGCUAGCAAGUAGGGGAGAUCUUCAUUUAAAAUCUGGGUUUCCCUCAACACUGCUCAUUACUGCACAUUCAGUAAGACCAGCAAUCUUUGCAACUGUCAUAACUUCCAUCCCACAACUACACCUAGGAGGAGAUGUUUGUUAAACACCAGAUUCCAGUCCCUGGGACAAUGAAUGUGCUGGCAAGCCUCCUGCAGCGAUAUCUGGUGGCCAGUUGUCAGUACAUCCAAUUGCGCAUACUUGCAAUUUGAUCUUGACCAAUGCAAUUUCCUUUCCUUUAGGAAUUCUUUUACUGCCUUUAUGCCCAAGGGAUAGAUAGAGAAGAUAGCUGUAUACAGACUGCUUCAAACUGUGAGGCGAAUACCUCAGGGAUGAUUCUACUUCUGUUUAUGGCUAUACUCUGCUCUACAAGGGCCAUUGUAACAAACUGUGAAAUUCAGCAUUACAGAAAAAAACAAACAACAAAAAAACAGGGAAAUGUAUUUUCAUGUGUCCAAAAGGGCCCUUUUAGUAAUUGAUUAAGGUCACAGGCCUUAUAUGAGAGACUGUGGAUUAUCAAUGGCGGAGAGGCAAAAUGACACGCAGAGAGCUGUCAUUUAGUAGGAUGUGCCUCCUUCUACAAGAGAGUGAAUCACUAUUAUCCUUUAAAGACAGUUUAGCACUGCUUAAGCACAUAGGAAAGUAGGUUUGAAUUAGUUGGCUGUGGAAACGACUGUAACUGUAUAUGUGAUGCCAAAGGACAGGACAGCCCGCCCCUGGGUUGCUCUGCCCCAAGUCACUGAGCAUUGCAGAGCUCAGACUGGGCAGGGCAGAGGGAUCUUAGCAAAAACCAGAAACCUCUGAGGAAGCAUUAGAGCUUUACCUUCAAUAAAAGCAUUGUUUUCAGUUGUGAUUCAUACUUGUACGGUAUCUGUAGGAUGUCUUUUAGAUACCUGGGUAGCUUAAGAUCUUUUGGGAAGUUUAACAUCUUUCUUUCUUUUCAGCAGCCUUUGGAUGGCACAGCCAUUCAUCUCAGAGACAGUUUUUUUUCCCGUGCUCUGUGAAUUUCUGUGUGACACUCAUUGAAAUGUUAACUGCCGGAAACUACCGUGGCCUUCCUCGGGUUGGUUUCUCCACCAAAGGUCAGGGCAGGCUGCCAGGACAGCUCGCCAACCGCACUGCUUUACGGAGCGGCGUUCUCAUUGACACCGCAACAGCGGUGGGCAACGGAGUGCUAGGAAAAAGUAUGCUGCUAAAGUGGGAUCACGUUUCUGGAGCAGACUACAUAGAGAAAAGGGUUAGGAAGGUUUUGUAAGGUAGAAGAGACAAAACCUGAUUUCUUCUCACCAGACUUCCAGUUGCAGGAUGUGGAUCAAAUGACUCCCGCUUAUCGCACCUCCACCCCUAAACUGAAGGAAUAAGUGCCUGAAAACUCAGCUUGUGUUACCAAAUAAAUAGCAAGAAUGUGGGAUUCCCUAUCUGUGCUGCAGGGACUGCCCUCCUUCAGCUUUCUUCUCCUUAAUAAAAAAGCUAGGGCAUCCGGUUCCUGCGCCCCACUUGGUAGCACAGCACCAGUUAACUCACAGAGCCAGUUCUUGACACGUCAGAAAAGAGCAGAUUUAAAAUUCUCUUUGCAGUCCCUGGCCUGGCACACGUGUGUUCUCACAGACUCGUCCACGACACCGCCGAACUGCAGACUUUCCCACAGGAUGCAUGCCUCAUGCUGUACAACAGGAUAAUCACGCCCAGUGGCAGAAAUAAAUUAGCAUAGCAAUCUCAAUCUGGUAUUUCCUAAUUUUCCUAAUCUCCUUCUCCUUCAGUGUUCAGCUGUGCUAAUCUAAGCAAUAUUCUUUUACAGUAAUUUCUGGACUUUGCCAUUUAAAUAUAUGUAUACGUGUUUGUGUAUCUCUCCAUCUGUCUGUGUCUGUUAAUGUAUUGGUAAACACAAAAGAAAAAGAUAAAAGCCGUUUGUUUUUAAUUCUUUCUGAACCCUUUGAUCCCUCCUUGCUUGUUUUAGCAGCUGCCCGACUGUUUUUUCUCGUAUGUAAACUUCAAAGUCACUCAGAGGUCAAAGCUUGGAUGAAGACAGACCGAGGAGAACAGCAGCGGUGAGAACACGCAGUGCGGAGAAGCCGGGGAUGUCGGUGGCAGCACAUCGCCUCCAUCGAGGUGCUGGGGAGAUGACCUACGUCUUCGACGUGGCAUGCCAUGAUCUGAGCGUCUGAUGUGGUUGUUGAGGCUUCUGUGCUCACUGGGAAAUUGUCUUGCAGAGGAGCGAAGGGCACGGCCAUGCUCUGGCGGACUUGACAUUCACUGGCUGGUCUUGGUUCAGGCAGUCUGGAAAUAGCUAAAUAGAUCACCGUGAAAAUACUGGAGAAAAACAGCUUUUUCGUGGUUUGUGUUGAAUGCAGAGGGCUUCGGGGUUGGGUGCAAGUUCGGAUAGCACUUACAAUAGCACUGAAAUUAUUUCCCACAGAUGUAUUAGCUUGCAUUUGUUGCUUCUUCCACUUCCACAGUAAAUUCCCACAGGCACUGUGGGAAGAGAGCAUCCUUCUGUAGUGCUGGGCCUCCCCACCAGGGCUAAGAAGGGUUUCAGGCUUAGGAAGUACUUGAAACGCUCCCGAUACAAGGAGCACAUCUAAUGUGUGCCUUGUUGUCCCUUGUUAACAUAACCAGAAGCCACAUUGCUCUCUGCUGCUUCUCACUCAACAACCUUUUUCUGCUGGUUCCGGGCCACUUAGCAUCAUUCUUUUCCUUAAUGAGCUUCACAUCAGUUCUCAUUUUAGCUGAGAGAAAUAAUUUUUGGGCCAGUUUCAAUGAGUUUUGCAAGAAUUAAAGUGAUACUCACUUUUUCAUUAGUGACUCUUUACCACUAACACAGCUCUGCUUACUCCUGAUUUCCGUGCCUCUACGCGUUAAUGCAAAAGCAGAGAAGAAAAAAAACAAAAACACAGCGAGAGAAAAGAAAGAAAAAGUGUUAAUGUGGGAAGAGAAAGCAAAAGUGUGAAGUGGCUCUGUGAAGAGCCACGUGGGUGCAAAGAGAAGCGACAGGGACGCAGGGAAAAGCAGCUGGAAAGCAGGAGUGUGGAGAAAAAUGAGGCUAGGAGGAGGGGUAAAGGGGAGCAGGAGUGGGAGCGGGGAGAUUAAGAAUGGUCCCAAGGGAUGGGGUAACGGGCAGGAAGGAAAGCCAAAUAAGGAGCACAGAAUCAUGUAGUUUAUGCGGUGAGAACAAGAGAUGGCCUUAACAGCAGCACUUUGCAGUGCUGGCGGACUGCAUGAUGUGUACUCAGCUUGGAGUAGCUGUCCUGGCUCUUCAGGAGGCGGCCUAGGAAAGAAGAUUAUGGCUUCAUUUGAAUCAAUUCCUAACCCGGAGUCUCUCCCUAUAAAGGAUGCUAUAAAGGAUGAGUAUCGUGUUGCACUGAAUGACAACUGGAGUGCGUUGGGGUUUGUGCAUUGUCACUGAUUCUAAUGCCUUUUGUGUUGAGCCUGCUGAAAACAAAGGUCAAGUACCAGCACAUUCUGCUUUCUGUGAGAGAUUUAAUUAAAUCCGAAGGACAAAGGCAGGGUACUGGAAACCACCACCAGUGGGAAAGAUGCUUCAUUUUGUAUUACUAUUUUUCAAUAUCAGUUUGUCCGUAGCUGCUUUGUAAUGCUGUCUUAUUUUAUUUUGGUGCGAUGACAGGAGAAUAAACAUUUAAAUAUCCAUCUGAGUCCUGCAGAUGCUA
ensembl:lncRNA